UCUAAACACAUUUUGUCUAAUAUGCAUGUUCUUUUUCUUCUCUUCUUCACCUUCCACAUAUAAUAAAUACUCCACUCCCCUUGGAACCCUCUUAGUUUCUGGUUUCAUGUAGUGUCAAAGAGAACAAUCAUCAAUUGCUGACAAGUCUCCAUCAUCAUUUCAAACUCAUGGCACCUGCAAGAACCUGUUCAUCUUGCCUCAUGAUGUUUAUCGCAAUCAUCUUUCUCGUUUCUCUCACACUCUCACCUUCCAUUUCAGUUAACGAAGGGGUAUCUCUUGUGCAACGAAAGAAUAAACCACUAGGAUCAAGACCACCAGGGUGUUUGAACAAGUGCAUGAAGUGUUCACCAUGUGAAGCCACACUGGUUAUUCCUCCACACCAUAAGAUGGUCGAUUACAUAGAUCAAUCUUCUCACGAUGAAGACGAUUGUUAUUAUCUUCUUUCUUGGAAAUGCAAAUGUGGUGAUAAACUCUUUCAACCUUGAUCAUAAUUAGCGACCGGUUUGCGUAGUUAAUCAUAUAUAACUUUCUAUAUGAAAAAUAAGUGUAUAAAGUAUUCAAUAAUACUUCAAGUGCAGGCUGACCUGCGUAUUGUUUCCUC